rnacentral:rRNA from 1 species
GAUGAACGCUAGCUACAGGCUUAACACAUGCAAGUCGAGGGGUAACAAGAGAAAAGCUUGCUUUUCUUGUUGACGACCGGCGCACGGGUGAGUAACGCGUAUCCAACCUGCCUAUAACUAGGGGAUAACCUUGCGAAAGUAAGACUAAUGCCCUAUGACUUCCUUUGGCGGCAUCAAAAAAGGAAUAAAGAUUUAUCGGUUAUAGAUGGGGAUGCGUCUGAUUAGCUUGUUGGCGGGUAACGGCCCACCAAGGCAACGAUCAGUAGGGGUUCUGAGAGGAAGGUCCCCCACAUUGGAACUGAGACACGGUCCAAACUCCUACGGGAGGCAGCAGUGAGGAAUAUUGGUCAAUGGGCGGAAGCCUGAACCAGCCAAGUAGCGUGCAGGAUGACGGCCCUAUGGGUUGUAAACUGCUUUUAUACAGGGAUAAAGUUAGCCACGUGUGGUUAUUUGCAGGUACUGUAUGAAUAAGGACCGGCUAAUUCCGUGCCAGCCGCCGCUGUAACAC